rnacentral:ncRNA from 2 species
UGCUACCGCUAGGGGUGUCGAAGCGGGUUUGCCCACUUCGACUGAGAGAGUCCCUUUGAACCUGAUUGAGAUCAUCCUCGCGCAGGGAAGCAAGUUCGCCACAUU